rnacentral:rRNA from 1 species
UAGAGUUUGAUCCUGGCUCAGAUUGAACGCUGGCGGCAUGCUUUACACAUGCAAGUCGAACGGCAGCGCGGGGCAACCUGGCGGCGAGUGGCGAACGGGUGAGUAAUAUAUCGGAACGUACCCAGAAGUGGGGGAUAACGUAGCGAAAGUUACGCUAAUACCGCAUACGAUCUACGGAUGAAAGUGGGGGACCUUCGGGCCUCAUGCUUUUGGAGCGGCCGAUAUCUGAUUAGCUAGUUGGUGAGGUAAAGGCUCACCAAGGCGACGAUCAGUAGCUGGUCUGAGAGGACGACCAGCCACACUGGGACUGAGACACGGCCCAGACUCCUACGGGAGGCAGCAGUGGGGAAUUUUGGACAAUGGGCGCAAGCCUGAUCCAGCAAUGCCGCGUGAGUGAAGAAGGCCUUCGGGUUGUAAAGCUCUUUUGUCAGGGAAGAAACGGCUCAGGCUAAUAUCCUGGGCUAAUGACGGUACCUGAAGAAUAAGCACCGGCUAACUACGUGCCAGCAGCCGCGGUAAUACGUAGGGUGCAAGCGUUAAUCGGAAUUACUGGGCGUAAAGCGUGCGCAGGCGGUUUUGUAAGUCUGUCGUGAAAGCCCCGGGCUUAACCUGGGAAUUGCGAUGGAGACUGCAAGGCUUGAAUCUGGCAGAGGGGGGUAGAAUUCCACGUGUAGC